UACGGAGGGUGCAAGCGUUAAUCGGAAUUACUGGGCGUAAAGCGUGCGCAGGCGGUUUGUUAAGUCUGUUGUGAAAUCCCCGAGCUCAACUUGGGAAUUGCAAUGGAUACUGGCAGGCUGGAGUAUGGUAGAGGAAGGUGGAAUUCCCGGUGUAGCAGUGAAAUGCGUAGAGAUCGGGAAGAACAUCAGUGGCGAAGGCGGUCUGCUGGGCCGUUGCUGACGCUGAGGCGCGACAGCGUGGGGAGCAAACAGG
rnacentral:rRNA from 1 species